CAGGCGGAAAAUAAUCAUGUCAGUGGAGCCCUGUUCUAUGGUGAAUUGGAACGUCAACUCUUACAGGCCAACCCCAUCCUCGAGUCCUUCGGCAACGCCAAGACAGUGAAGAAUGACAACUCGUCACGG